rnacentral:lncRNA from 1 species
UUUGAAAAGUAUUUUAGAGUCCACCAGAUCAUCCAUGUGAGUGACCAUGCAGCAAAAGAAGGAGGGUCCUCUCAGUGAUUAAGGAUUAUGAAGUAUUAAUUCUUCCACUGAUAUCUCAAAAGGUGAUCUGGACAAAGGAACAGGUAUCUCAGGAGGCGGAGGCAGGAGUAUUGCUGAGCCCAGGAGUUGAAGACUGCAAUGAGCUAUGAUCGCGUCACUGCACCCCAACUUGGGUGAUAGAGCAAGACCCUGUCUCAAAAAAAAAAAAAAGCUUCCAAGUUUGCUGGAGCCAUGUUUUCUCUAAUGUCCCCACAGAACAGUGGUUGGUAGGAUGGCGGAGACAUGGACUUCAGAGAGUUCUUGGUAGAAGACUCAAAGAGCCACCUGUCAUGAGACAUCCCACUUCCUUCCCCAGGUUACUUCCAAGACUGAGCAGCCAGGUUUUUGGUAGAUGAGAACAAAUGUUUCUUCCUGAAGCCCUGGGGCUUCAGGUAGGAAGAAGGACUGCUAUACUUGUUCUCACCCUUGGCUUCUGGCUGCUCCAGUUAAACAUGGUUCCCAUUGAUACAGACAUUAGAGUGGGAAAGGACUUCGUUCAUAGACCGAAGACCCUCAAAGGAAAGUCCUUCCAUUUUGGGAAGGGUGACAUUGAUUUCGUUUAGCUGCUUAAGAUAUGUACUUGCUGUUGUCUUGUGAGACAUGACAUCUGAAGCUGAAGAGGAGUCCCUCUCAUUGUUGUCAUUGUCCCACCGGGACUGAAAGUCUCCCAGUUGAGGCAGCAUUUUAGCUUUGAUGUCUACAGGGCAAUCAUGGAUCAGGAAAUUUCUGCAAAUUAGACUUGGAAAACAAGGUCUUGAUCCUUCUUGUCUUUGGACGAAGACUAAUCAUCACUUUUGACUGAAGGUGUAGUGCUGGAGACUAUGUUGGAGGCAGCACCUGAUGCACUAUCCAUAUUCUUCCCCUUGAUCUUGUCUUAAAGUUUUCCAAAUGGAUUCCGAGGCUUGUCUUUGAUGAAAAGGUCAAACAUACUGGCAGUCAUGUUGUUUCUCAUAAGCUGGAUGUCAACCUCAAUUUCUCCUCUUUAUCCUUCUCUCCUGGUUUGGAUUUCAAGGUAUACCACCGCAUCUUCCUGCUCCCCUAGUCUGGGUGCAGGUCCUGCAGGUACACCUCGGCGAAGCCCAAGUACAGUAGCAGCAGCACCUCAAAGGUGGCCUCCUCCUCUGACACUGAGGUGGCAUACUUCUCCUUACCCACCUGAAUCACCGAGUACAUGUUGCUUGUACCGUCAGGCUCUUGGUUCUUGGCCCCUGGCCCUAUGCCUGCAACACUGUCACCUGCACGUGGAUUGGGAACCACAUAGCCCCCGGACCUGCUAAGGCCAUUAAGGACAGGAUGGUGAUGCCUCGGCUGACUGACGUGAGAAGAUUGUCAUGACCCAUGGCCUCUACUGCUGUCCUACCAACAGAAACUUCAUAAUGUUGUGCAGGCGUUACCACUACCUAGUUCCAGAACAUUGCCAUCACCCCCAAAAUAAAUCUUGCAUUCAUUAAGCAGUCACCCCUAUUUUCCCCCAUCCCU